GUUAAGCGACUAAGCGUACACGGUGGAUGCCCUGGCAGUCAGAGGCGAUGAAGGACGUGCUAAUCUGCGAUAAGCGUCGGUAAGGUGAUAUGAACCGUUAUAACCGGCGAUUUCCGAAUGGGGAAACCCAGUGUGUUUCGACACACUAUCAUUAACUGAAUCCAUAGGUUAAUGAGGCGAACCGGGGGAACUGAAACAUCUAAGUACCCCGAGGAAAAGAAAUCAACCGAGAUUCCCCCAGUAGCGGCGAGCGAACGGGGAGCAGCCCAGAGCCUGAAUCAGUGUGUGUGUUAGUGGAAGCGUCUGGAAAGGCGCGCGAUACAGGGUGACAGCCCCGUACACAAAAAUGCACAUGCUGUGAGCUCGAUGAGUAGGGCGGGACACGUGGUAUCCUGUCUGAAUAUGGGGGGACCAUCCUCCAAGGCUAAAUACUCCUGACUGACCGAUAGUGAACCAGUACCGUGAGGGAAAGGCGAAAAGAACCCCGGCGAGGGGAGUGAAAAAGAACCUGAAACCGUGUACGUACAAGCAGUGGGAGCACGCUUAGGCGUGUGACUGCGUACCUUUUGUAUAAUGGGUCAGCGACUUAUAUUCUGUAGCAAGGUUAACCGAAUAGGGGAGCCGAAGGGAAACCGAGUCUUAACUGGGCGUUAAGUUGCAGGGUAUAGACCCGAAACCCGGUGAUCUAGCCAUGGGCAGGUUGAAGGUUGGGUAACACUAACUGGAGGACCGAACCGACUAAUGUUGAAAAAUUAGCGGAUGACUUGUGGCUGGGGGUGAAAGGCCAAUCAAACCGGGAGAUAGCUGGUUCUCCCCGAAAGCUAUUUAGGUAGCGCCUCGUGAAUUCAUCUCCGGGGGUAGAGCACUGUUUCGGCAAGGGGGUCAUCCCGACUUACCAACCCGAUGCAAACUGCGAAUACCGGAGAAUGUUAUCACGGGAGACACACGGCGGGUGCUAACGUCCGUCGUGAAGAGGGAAACAACCCAGACCGCCAGCUAAGGUCCCAAAGUCAUGGUUAAGUGGGAAACGAUGUGGGAAGGCCCAGACAGCCAGGAUGUUGGCUUAGAAGCAGCCAUCAUUUAAAGAAAGCGUAAUAGCUCACUGGUCGAGUCGGCCUGCGCGGAAGAUGUAACGGGGCUAAACCAUGCACCGAAGCUGCGGCAGCGACGCUUAUGCGUUGUUGGGUAGGGGAGCGUUCUGUAAGCCUGUGAAGGUGUGCUGUGAGGCAUGCUGGAGGUAUCAGAAGUGCGAAUGCUGACAUAAGUAACGAUAAAGCGGGUGAAAAGCCCGCUCGCCGGAAGACCAAGGGUUCCUGUCCAACGUUAAUCGGGGCAGGGUGAGUCGACCCCUAAGGCGAGGCCGAAAGGCGUAGUCGAUGGGAAACAGGUUAAUAUUCCUGUACUUGGUGUUACUGCGAAGGGGGGACGGAGAAGGCUAUGUUGGCCGGGCGACGGUUGUCCCGGUUUAAGCGUGUAGGCUGGUUUUCCAGGCAAAUCCGGAAAAUCAAGGCUGAGGCGUGAUGACGAGGCACUACGGUGCUGAAGCAACAAAUGCCCUGCUUCCAGGAAAAGCCUCUAAGCAUCAGGUAACAUCAAAUCGUACCCCAAACCGACACAGGUGGUCAGGUAGAGAAUACCAAGGCGCUUGAGAGAACUCGGGUGAAGGAACUAGGCAAAAUGGUGCCGUAACUUCGGGAGAAGGCACGCUGAUAUGUAGGUGAAGUCCCUCGCGGAUGGAGCUGAAAUCAGUCGAAGAUACCAGCUGGCUGCAACUGUUUAUUAAAAACACAGCACUGUGCAAACACGAAAGUGGACGUAUACGGUGUGACGCCUGCCCGGUGCCGGAAGGUUAAUUGAUGGGGUCAGCGCAAGCGAAGCUCUUGAUCGAAGCCCCGGUAAACGGCGGCCGUAACUAUAACGGUCCUAAGGUAGCGAAAUUCCUUGUCGGGUAAGUUCCGACCUGCACGAAUGGCGUAAUGAUGGCCAGGCUGUCUCCACCCGAGACUCAGUGAAAUUGAACUCGCUGUGAAGAUGCAGUGUACCCGCGGCAAGACGGAAAGACCCCGUGAACCUUUACUAUAGCUUGACACUGAACAUUGAGCCUUGAUGUGUAGGAUAGGUGGGAGGCUUUGAAGUGUGGACGCCAGUCUGCAUGGAGCCGACCUUGAAAUACCACCCUUUAAUGUUUGAUGUUCUAACGUUGACCCGUAAUCCGGGUUGCGGACAGUGUCUGGUGGGUAGUUUGACUGGGGCGGUCUCCUCCUAAAGAGUAACGGAGGAGCACGAAGGUUGGCUAAUCCUGGUCGGACAUCAGGAGGUUAGUGCAAUGGCAUAAGCCAGCUUGACUGCGAGCGUGACGGCGCGAGCAGGUGCGAAAGCAGGUCAUAGUGAUCCGGUGGUUCUGAAUGGAAGGGCCAUCGCUCAACGGAUAAAAGGUACUCCGGGGAUAACAGGCUGAUACCGCCCAAGAGUUCAUAUCGACGGCGGUGUUUGGCACCUCGAUGUCGGCUCAUCACAUCCUGGGGCUGAAGUAGGUCCCAAGGGUAUGGCUGUUCGCCAUUUAAAGUGGUACGCGAGCUGGGUUUAGAACGUCGUGAGACAGUUCGGUCCCUA
rnacentral:rRNA from 1 species